GACCUCUGCCCCCAGCCUGGCGAGGCCUCUGCCCGGGCCCAGGGCCUGGCUGCAGCAACCACGGUGCCCACCCUCUCCCUCCCAUCCCCGCGGACGUGCAGCCCCCUCUGGUCUGAGAGCGGAAGCCUGUGUCCUCCAGGGUCACCCUGACCCGUCUGAAGAGGCACCAGGACUCUGCCAGCCGCACGCGAGCAGGAGGGCAGGCUGCAGGUCGCGGGCACAGCAGGACCAGAGCACCUCCGGGGGGCGUUCGAAAGGUUGCCCCUUCCUGCCGCUGGCCAGGACCCCAGUGCUGCGCCCUGGAUGGUGCACAGCUUAUGUCCUGCCUUCUGCCUCCCGCUGUCCUUCCCUCGUGCAGGGUGGGUGGGGAGGGGGCUCACGGGCCCAGGGGUCCCCCUGAGGGCUAGGCCCGUGUCCUCGUGUGACGGCUGGGACGCUCCAGGGGCAGGACUGAGUCAGCGCCCGCCAGGCACUCAGACCAGCACUUGGGGGGCUGUGGGGCUGUGGGGGCCCCUCCCAUCCCUGGGGGCCAGGGGUGGCGCGGCCGGGCCUCCCCCUUCACGUCCUCAUCUGUGGGACUGUGACGUUUUUACCUAUAGGAGGGGCUGUGUCAGCAUGCAGGUGACGGGACCAGCGCUGCACGCCCAGGCGAAGCUGUAGCACCUGCCAGUACGUUGCAUGUCACCUCCCAGGGCCUCCCUGGGGGCUUUUGUCCAGCGCUGAGAACCUGAGUGACCAGUGCACACCCAGGUGGGAAGGAAGAGGCCAGGCUGCCGCACGAAGGCUCCUGGGGACGGAAGCCAGGCAGAGCCGUCGUACCAUCUGGCUGCAGCUCCUGGGGAAUUUGCCGGAACCCUCUGGGGAGGCGGCAGCGAAAGUCAGGAGAAAUGCAGGUGAAAACACUCACCCCCCACAACCCCGAAGGAAGAAACCGUGAUGGGACGUUAAAAACACCGGGCAGGGGCCGAGCGGCAGGAACCGGGCAGGCGCGGGCCCCGCAGACAAGGCCCCACGCGGCGGCUUGAGCGUCACACAGUCCGGCAAACUGGAUCCCGAGAGGACAAAGCCAAGGGCGUUACCUACAGCUUCAGCAGGGGAUCAAGAUGAUGGUGAGAGUGUUUGAUGACGCUGGCAGUUCUCCAAACGAGGCGCGCGGCGACCACACAGCCCAGCGGGGGCCCUCGGGCAUCUCGCCAAAGGAAAGGUACGUUUUCGUCCACUCAGAAAACCGCAGGCAGGUGUCCGCGGCAGCGUUAUUUAGAGCAGCCCCUCGGCCGGGUUUUCCAACAUCCGCCUCUAAUCCCGAGGCUCUGGACACCAGCCAGUGUGUUCUGAUGCCACGGGCCUGGGGUACGUGUCGGGGCCCCUGGUCGAGGGCCCAGCCCCACAGGACGGCCCCCACUUCCGACGCCAGCCACGUGUCCAGGGCCACCCGUGCUGCUGAUGGACCGGCUGUGGAUCGGGGUUCCCGUCCCCCCUCCCCAGGUUUGAUCACUUCCGGGACCGGCUCAUGGGGCUCAGGAGCGUGUUUUACUUAGUACACCUGCUUGUUAGAAAAGACGCUGCUCAGGAAGAGCCGGGGGAGAGAUGCAGGGUCGGGGUGGGGGUGGAGCUUCCGUGCCCUCCUGGGUGCGGCCCCCUCCCGGCUGCCCACCAGCCAGAGCCCGUUGGUUUGGGGCUUCUCUAGAAGGUCCCUUUUGGAGGCGUGGCUGGUUAAACCACUGGCCACAGCGACUAACUCAUCCUCCAGCCCCUCUCCCUUCCCCAGAGGUGUCUAAUUGUGUCUGGUCUUUUCGGAGACCCGUGCCCAUCCUGGUGUGACCUAGGGGUCUGCAGCACGGGUCAUCUCAUUAGCUGACAAGGACAUUUAUUAUUCCAAGAUGCCCAGGGUUUUAGGAACCCUGUGCCAGGGACCAGAACAAAGACUACAAAUUAAUUUGUUUCUUUAAUUUUUUUUUUUUUUUUUUUUAGGGCCGCACCUGUGGCACACGGAGGUUCCCAGGCUAGGGGUUGCAUCAGAGCUGCCGCUGCCAGCCUACAUCACAGCCACAGCCACGCAGGAUCCGAGCCGCGUCUGCGACCUACACCACAGCUCACGGCAAGACCGGAUCCUUAACCCACGGAGCGAGGCCAGGGAUCGAACCUGCAACCUCAUGGAUACUAGUCAGGUUUGUUACUGCUGAACCACAAUGAGAACUCCUAAUUUGUUUCUUAUAUCACGGGUGCCUUCUGGUCUCUGACUAGAGCCUCUAGCAAAACCACUGUAAAAGUCAAGAGAUACUGCAGUUUCCACUGUGGCUCAGUGGGUUAAGAAUCUGACUGCAGUGGCUCAGGUCGCUGUGGAGGCACAGGUUCAGUCCCUGGCCGGAGUGGGUUAAAGGAUCUGGCAUUGCUGCAGCUGCAGUUCGGAUUCAAUCCCUGGCCAGGAACUUCCAUGUGCCGCGGGCACAGCCAUUAAAAAAAAAGUCAAACCACAUUGGCACGUUGCCAGAGCCAGCCCAGUCCAUCACCCUGUGUGAGAAUGUCCCCAGGGCGAGGCCACACAGGAGCGGGCCUCACGAUGCGGUCAGAUUCCAAAACAGGAGUGCACCGGGCCCCGGCCCGCCUCUCAGGCCCUGGUGUAUGUGAGCUGUGGGGCGCCCUUGUCCCCAGCCUCUUUUGGGCACUGACUCUCUUCCUUUCAGCACGAGCCCAUGGGCCCAUUUCCUGACCCUUCACCCGCUGCCCACCUCCUCCGUGUGCACCCAGACUCCCGCCCGCAGGAUGGGUAACAGGUUCACAUGGAGCCGGUCUAGACUGCAGGCCGCCGUGUGCACCCAGAGAGUGCCUGCCCUCAGCCCACUUCCGUCCACGCGGGUGCGGGGCUCGUGGGCUCUCCCACCCCCGGGGGACGCUGCUGCUCUUGCUGUCGGCCCCAGGUUCGCACAGGGGGGUGGGGGCAGCACCCCCACACACACACACCUCUUCAGGCCCUGACAUCAGGUUCACAGACAGUGGCAGUUUCUCGCCCGAGGUCAUCUCUGUUUCUGGCCCUUGUAGCUGUAGACCUGGUCAUUUUUGGCAUUUUUUUGGUGGUUUUUUUUCUUUUUCCCUUGCUUUUUUAGGGCCGCACCUGCAGCAUAUGGAAAUGUGGAAGUUGCCAGGCUAGGGGCCGAAUCGGAGCUACAGCUGCCAGCUUGCCCCUGUCCACCCGUGCGGGGUGGGCGCCCUGCGGCCCAUCUCAGCCUCUCAGACCUGCGCUCAGGAGGGCAGCUCUGCCCGUGGCUGGGAGUGAGGCGCGGUCCAGCGAGUGCCUCGUGCUGAGGAAACCAUGGUCGGCCGCCCAGACGCAACACGUCUCUUCCCGUCUGCUCACCGCUUCUGAGCCUCUGCGUCCAGGAUUCCAGCGCCUUCUGAACCUGCCGAGGCUUCCCCUGAUGUUCCCGCCUGAGCACCCCCACGCCCCCAGAGUGAUUUCCGUGGGGCCCUCGUGGGCGUCCCUUUAACGUAGCCUUCAUGCUGCCCUCAUGCUCGUUGCCACUGCCCACGUGUCAGUAGAAACCCACAUGCAGGACUGUGCCCAGCAUUCAACCCUCCCACCGUGGCCGGCCGGCCGGCAGCCCGCCUGACGGAGGCCUGCGCCCUCUUCCUCCAUCCAGUCUGGCGCCUUCCAGACAGCAGGCAACUGCCGCCCGCAGGCCAAGCAGCGCCUUGAUGGUCAGUGGAGAGCUGUUCGUGGGGCACCGUCUGCUGAAUCCAGCCGCUCCCCGGGCUGCGGGAAGCCUCCCGGGAGGCCAUGGCUCUGUCCCCAGAGUGUUCCUCCCUCGUCCUCUGGACGCUCUGGGCCCUUCAGUUUCUGUGAUCAUUCUCCGUCCUCCGACCCCGGGGUGGCUCCAUGGGGUCUGACGACAAGGUGCUAAACCCCCCGAAUGGAGGUUCUCUUGUCCAGAGUCCGGGCGUCGUGGCUGGGAGGGUCCCGUGGGCUCCAGCCCCGGUCUCGGCGGCGUGUGGCCAUCGCACAAGACCUGCCCGCCCGGCGCCUCUGCUUCUGUUUCCCCUGCUGGUGGGGGGCUCAGGCCCUCUUACUGGUUCCCAUUUAGCUGGGCCAGGGAACCCGGCUCGAAGGGCGGGCUUGCCCGCCUCCUUCGCGAGCUCGGGCAGGGGAAGCGGCCCGCAGGGGCAGAGCCCGACCCCAAGGCGCAAGCAGGCACCAGAGGCGCCGUCACUUCUCAGGAGCCUGUGCCGACAGCCCCGCUGUCCUCCCAACCCUGACCUUGAGUCCACCAAGCCCGGCUCCUCGCAGUGCUGCCCCUGGGACCUCACCUACAGGGUGUGGUUUCACUGGGGAGGGAAGCGCCCCCGGCUGUGGCCUCAUAUCCGUAAUCCCCAUGUCCUAAAUCAUGAAGUAAAGCCUGGCCGCACCCCUGCCACCCC
rnacentral:lncRNA from 1 species